rnacentral:rRNA from 1 species
GACGAACGCUGGCGGCGUGCUUAACACAUGCAAGUCGAACGGAAAGGCCCUGCUUUUGUGGGGUGCUCGAGUGGCGAACGGGUGAGUAACACGUGAGUAACCUGCCCUUGACUUUGGGAUAACUUCAGGAAACUGGGGCUAAUACCGGAUAGGAGCUCCUGCUGCAUGGUGGGGGUUGGAAAGUUUCGGCGGUUGGGGAUGGACUCGCGGCUUAUCAGCUUGUUGGUGGGGUAGUGGCUUACCAAGGCUUUGACGGGUAGCCGGCCUGAGAGGGUGACCGGCCACACUGGAAGGGGGGCAAGGUCCAGAGUACUACGGGAGGCAGCAGGAGGGAACCGGCGGCAAGGGGCGGAAGCGGGACGGAGCAAGGGCGAGUGAGUGACGAAGGUCUGCGGAGCGGAAAACUGUGCUAGUAGGGAAGAACAAAUGUGUAAGUAAAUAUGCACGUCGUGACGGUACCUGAUAAGAAAGCCACGGCUAACUACGUG